UCCAUUCAUUUAUUCCACAGACAUGCACUGAGCACCUGUGAUGUGCAGGCGAAGAGAGAGAGAGAGAGAGAGUGGGGGAGGGAUGCCCACGUGUGCGUCGAACUCAACAAACAUAUCAUGACCUGAGCUGAAGUCGGACGCUCAACCGACUGAGACACCCAGGCACCCCUAGAAUUUUUUUGAACACGUUCUCGGUGCCUGUGUUUUACCGGAACGGAAUGUUCUGGAAUGUGUGUUAGAGAAAACACAAAACUGACUAAGGAGGGGUGAAUUAUAAUUUAAAUUAUAAACAAAUGCUCUAAUGAAGUUGUUUUUCAGGCUGGUGGAUGGCAAUGCCCUUCGUGAGUGGGUGAGAAUAGGGGAGGGGGAGGCCCGAACGGGGGAGGGGAUACCGCAAGUUUGCUGAUCUGCUAUUACUUGGCUCAGUCUUUCCUCUCAUUCAUCACACUUGGCUCCCAACGACUUGGCUGAUCCUAAAAGUCAAGCCCCCUCAUCCUCCUCCAAAGAGAUGGCUUGAGCCCCUGAGGCAGGUAUUUAGGAGAGAGUCUUGCCCCCCAAAAGCAUUUCAAUCGUGUCCUCUCAAAGGACGUAAUCGCUUGACUAAAUCUCCCACUUCGAAGAAGAAAACACCUUUUGAGUAGUUCUGGUCUGGUUGUAAAAAAGAGCCCACCCCCUUCUCUAUAGCCGUCCCCGAUGAGCCCAGAUUCGAAAAGAUCCUGUCGGUACAUGUCGUCAAGGUGCUCAGGUUCAUUAUCAAAGGCUGUUUGCUAAUAAAUAAAUAAUAAACGUGUUUUCCCACUCCCAUUUAAUUAGGAACUUUAUGAGCUACCCGUGAGCUAAGAGUCUCACGACUAACACAACGUGCAGCCGGGAAGGCAACUCACAGCAGCGCAUGUGGCCCUUGUGGCUUGUGACACGGUUUUUCCAGUAUUCAGGAUAAUAGAAGCAGUGGUUCAUUUUUAUAUGAAAUGCUCUGUAAGGUAAGGUUGGGGGAAACGAUUAUAAAUUCACGUCGAGGAUGGCAACAAAAAGACAGAGACAGGGGUGCCCGGGGGGCUCAGUUGGUUAGGCGUCCGGCUUCGGCUCAGGUCACCAUCUCAUGGUUUGUGAGUUUGAGCCCCGCGUCGGGCUCUGUGCUGACAGCUCGGGGCCUGGAGCCUGCUUUGGAUUCUGUGCCUCCCUCUCUCUCUGCCCCUCCCCUGCUCAUGCUCUGUCUCUCUCUCUGUCUCUCUCUCUCUCAAAAAGAAACAUUAACAAAAAUUAAAAAAAAAAAAAAAGGUAGGGGCAGCCAGUUCACAAUGGAACUUGAUUGUAUCUUGAAACUACGCAAUAGCCAUUCCUGUCCCAGACCCUCUCUCCUUCUCCGCCUUCUCGCCCUCCCUGGGUGAUGUCAUCACCCCUGUAUCUUUACUUAAACUAAGUGACCCUUAAACUAAAUGACUGGUCCCCGGUCCUGCUCAUGAGCUUCUGACGAGGUCCUCACUUCCUGUUAGGUCCCCAGGCUGCCAAAUGGAACGGGCCCUGACAGAACCCUCGCCUUCACACCCACCCACCCACACCCGCUCUUCCUGGGCUCCUUGGGGCCUGUCGCUGCCUUCCCAGCCCCUCCCACCAGAGCAGCAUCAGGCCCCCCGGGGUUGUGUUUCUGGUCACAGCCAUUGUGACCACCUAGUGUCACCUGCAUCAUUGCCUGCCAAGUCUCCCUUGCUCACUCCAGUCUCCUGACCCCUGAUCCAUUGUCUACACUGCAGGCAGGAUCAUCUUUCACAAAUGCAGAUUUAUUCCUCUCUUUGAUAUUCCUCCAUUUAUUAUUCCAAAGAGAAACCCAAUUUCCUUAACACUUGAUGCUUUGGUCUGAUUCCUCCUCCCCCUUGAGGGACACUCCCCCCUCCAAGGUCCCCUGACCUUGGGACUGAGCUGAGUGCCCAUGCGGUGCCCACGCACGCCGUUGCCCUGUAGAGACACGUGUUUCACGAUGCAUCGAGAUGGUCUGUUUACUGCGUGGCUUACCCACACACACAGGUGCAGUGGAGCAUCCGUCUCCCUCUUCCUCCUCAAUCAAAUUGGACUCCAAGCCUCCAUCGUACCCAGGGAAGCAGGAAAGUUCAUGACUUUCAUUCUCAGGCCUCCUGAUGCUUCCCGUCCUGGUCCAGUGCCCUAACCAGAGUGAAAUAUUAGAGGCAGUCCCAUCAGAGGGACACCGUAACUCCGGACGGCCUUGCCCCACCCACUCCGCUCUUGGCCGUUCCCAGACACUGGCAUCCCAGCCCAGACUGGAGCCCUGGUGCCCAAGCCGCCCCCAGGAGGAGUCUCUCCAUCCCCGGAGCGGUCUCAGGGACUGUUCCCAACCAAGGACCUCCAAGAUCUAUCUUCCCAGUGAAUUCAGAACACAAGGAGGGGAUGGCUUCCGGGGAAUUUCUGCCCCAUACACCUGCCCUGGGGAAGACUCUUAGAACCAGAGAGGGGAAAAUAUAAAGAGCCCAACACGGGUCGGUGUCCCUGAAAGUUAUUCUGGACUUGCUCCCCUUCACUCAGCAGGGACCUCUAAGACAGGACCAUGUCCCUUUUUGGUGGCCUGGCACAGUGCCUGGUAAUCAGAAGAAGAUAGUGAGGAAGCAAGCAUCACUCCAGACCUACAGGAUGUGCAAAGAUGAAGAGGUCUGAUGGGGCCGAGUGUCUUCAAGGACGUGGAGAAUCAGGGGCGCGGAGACACUGUGGUGGGGUCGUAAGUCAGGUCAUCCACUUUGGGGAGCAGAUGAAAAUACCCAGUAAAGUUAAAAAUGCCCAUUUCUUUCACCCUGAAAUCCUACUUACAGCAUAAAUCUGGAGAAACGUCUGCUCAGGGGAGUGUGAACACACAGAUGUUCAUUGCAUCAUUGUUUAUGACAGCAAAGAACCUGGACACCCAUUGACAGGUAAAAAGAUACACACAUUCACGGAUGUAAGAACCAGAGACCACGCAGAGAGAAACGCCAGAGAUCGGAAGGCUUCCACAUUCCGGCAGAUUGUCAUGAAACGUGGCUCUCACUUCUGAGCACAGAGGUGUGUGUUGAGAUGAAAUCUAUAAAUCACGGACAACGUGGUCAGUCUCCAUGGAGACUUGUUCCACCCCCAGCCUCCCCGCCCCCCUCCCCCCCCGUCAGUGGCACCUCCAUUUUACCCAGUGGUUCAAGUCCGAAACCCAAGUGUCAUCUUGGAUUCUUGUCUUUCUCACACUCCACAACCAAUCUGUCGCAAACCUCUGUCAUUUCUACUUCCAAAAUAUAUUCCCCUCCCUUCCCUUCUUCGGAAUAUGACACUUCUCUCCAUCUCCGUCCCACUGCCCACAUCCGGCCUCCCUCCUGGGCAGCUGACAGCCUCUGCUCCCUUGCUCUCCCCACCAUCACCCCCUCCCUGCCCUGCAGCCAAGGCGAUCCUUAAAACAGCAAAUCGGAGGUCAUCAUUCCCCUGCUUAUACCCGUCAGUGGUUCCCCCUCCACCGAGAAUAUGCUAACUGCCCUCCCUUCACCAAUAAAACUAAAAAAUCUGGGCCACUUCUGUUUCAUAUCCAUUUAAAACGAUAAACCUUCUCCCCUACCCCAGCCCAGCCCUUCCCUGAUCUAUCUUUCCAUGUUACUUAUCACAUUAUGCACCAUAUGAUGCUAUAUAAUAUUAGACUUAGUAUCUUUCUAUAUAUUAUAUUCUUUAGGUAGUUUAUUGUUGGUCUUCCCUUGCAAUAAAGUAUAAGCUUCAUAGGACCGGAAUAUUUGAGGGGUUUAUUCUAUGCAAG